rnacentral:rRNA from 1 species
UACGUAGGGGGCAAGCGUUGUCCGGAUUUAUUGGGCGUAAAGAGCGUGUAGGCGGCCAGACAGGUCCGUUGUGAAAACUCGAGGCUCAACCUCGAGAUGUCGAUGGAAACCGUCUGGCUAGAGUCCGGAAGAGGAGUGUGGAAUUCCUGGUGUAGCGGUGAAAUGCGCAGAUAUCAGGAGGAACACCGGUGGCGAAGGCGAGUCUCUGGGCCGAUACUGACGCUGAGGAGCGAAAGCGUGGGGAGCGAACAGG